GACAGACACAGGUAGCUGGACGCAGGACUCCAUCCCAGGUCUCCAGAAUCAGGCCCCAGGCCAAAGGCAGCGCUAAACCACUGAGCCACCUGGGCUACCCUGGCCCCAUUUUUCAAAUAGCAUUUGUUCACUCUGUGUCUCUGUGUCACAUUUUGGUGAUUCUUACAAUAGUUCAAAUUUUUCAUUAUAAUUCUAUUUGUUACAGUGAUCGGUGAUCUUUGAUGUUACUAUUGCACUUGUUUGGGGGCACCACAAACUGAGCCCAAAUUAAGAUCGCCAACUUAAUUGAUAAAUGUUGCUUGUGUUCUGAGUGCUCUAACAAUGGGCCAGUCUUGCAUCUCACUCCCUCCUCACAGGGCUCCCUGUUCCUUGAGGCACAAGGAUUUUGAAAUUAAGCCCAUUAAUAACCCUACAAUGGCCUCCAAGUGUUCAAGUGAAGGGAAGAGUCACACAUCUCUCACUUUAAGUCAAAAGCUAGAAACGCCUAAACUUAGUGAGGAAGGCAUGUCAAAAGCUGAGAUAGCCCAGUUAGCCAACUUGUGAAAUGAAUGCAAAGGAAAAGUUCUUGAAGGAAACUGAAAAUGCUAUUCCAGUGAACACAUGAAGGAUAAGAAAACAAAAAAACAGCCUUAUUACUGAUAUGGAGGAAGUUUCAGGAGUCUAGAUAGAAGAUCAAACCAGCCACAAUAUUCCCUUAAUCCAAAACCUAAUCCAGAGAAGGACCCUAACUCUCUUCAAUUCUGUGAAGCCUGAGAGAGGUGAGGAAGCUGCAGAAGAAAAGUUUGAAGCUAACAGAGGUUGGUUCAUGAGGUUUAAGGAAAGAAGCCAUCUCCAUAAAAUUAAAGUGCAAGGUGAAGCAGCAAGUGCUGGUGUAGAAGCUGCAAUAAGUGAUUCAGAAGAUCUAGCUAAGAUAAUUCAUGGUUACACUAAACAAUGGAUUUUCAACAUAUGUGAAACUAUUAGAAGAUGCCAUGUAGGACUUUCAUCACUAGAGUGGAGAUGCCACAGCCUGGUUUCAAAGGACAGGCUGACUCUCUGGUUUGGGGCUGAUGCAGCUGGUGACUUUAAGUUAAGCCACUGCUCACUUAUUCUGAAAACCCUGGGCCUUAAGUAUUAUGCUAAAUUCACUCUGUCUGUGCUCUGUAAAUAGAACAACAAAGCCUGAAUGACAGCACAUCUGUUUACAAUAUGGUUUACCAAAUAUUUUAAGCCCAUUGUUGAGAACUACUGCUCAGAAAAAAAUAUUCCUUUCAAAAUAUUGCUGCUCAUUGACAAACCCAAGAGAUCUGAUGGAGAUGUACAGCAAGAUUAAUGUCUAAUACAACAUUCAUUCUAUAGCCCAUGGAUCAAGGAGUAAUUUUCACUUUCAAGUCUUACUAUGUAAGAAAUACAUUUCAUAAGAUUAUAGUUGCCAGAGACAGUGAUUCUUUGAAGGAACCUGGGCAAGAUCCAUUGAAAACCUUCUAGAAAGGAUUCACCAUUAAGAACAUUCAUGACUCUUAGGAAGAAGUCAAAAUAUCAACAUGAAUGGAAUUUGGAACAAGUUGGUUGCAGCCCUCAUGGAUGACCAGGAGGGGUUCAGGACUUCAGUGGGGGCAGUAACUGCAGAUGUGGUGGAAACAGUGUGAGAACUAGAAGUGGAAUCUGAACAUGUGACUGACUGCAAACUCAUGAUAAACUUUCAUGGAUGAGGAGUUGCUGCUUAUGGAUGAGCAAAGACAGUGGUUUCCUGAGAUGGAAUCUGCUCCUGGUGAAGAUCCUGUGAAGACUGUUUAACUGACAACAAAGAUUUCGAAUAUUACGUACACUUAGUUGAUAAAGCAGCAGCUGGUUUGAGAGGACUGACUCCAAUUUUGAAACAAGUUCUACUUUGGGUAAAGUGUUAUCAAAUAGCACCACGUGCUACAGAGACAUUGUGAAAGGAAGAGUCAAUUGGUGCAGUAAACUUCAUUGCUGUCUUAUUUUAAGAAAUUGCCACAGCUGCCUCAGUCUUCAGCAACCACUCUCAACAGUCAACAGCCAUCAACAUCAAGGCAAGACUCUCCACCAGCAAAAGAUUACAACUCACUGGUAGCUCAGACGACUGGUUGGCAUUUUUUAGCAAUAAAGUAUUUUUUAAUUAAGGAUUCCAGGGCCGGCCUUCUGUCUGGCUCGGCCCGCUGCAGGCCUGGAGCUCGGCAGAGUCAAGGCUGACAGGCUAGCGAUCGGGAGCCCUUUCACCAUGACAGCCUGGGGUAUGGAAGUGAUCUGCUGCUCCCACACCUGCCCACUAAUGAUGCCAAGAUACAUUCAUCUCCCUGAGAGGGCUUUCCCGACUCUCCAGAUCAGGUCGGGCCUGGUGCGCGCUUGGAUAUGACCACAGGGUUCUCCAUGGCAUGUUUUACUCUAUGAAUAAACGAACCAUUUGAAUGAA